rnacentral:tRNA from 1 species
GACCGCGUAGCUCAGUUGGCAGAGCAUUGGACUAGUAUUCCAAAGGUCGUAGGUUCAAUUCCCACCGUGGUCA